UAACAACGAACGGCAAGAAGUCAGCAGAGGCCAUAGUACCGGUUUUCCACUGGGAAGG
rnacentral:ncRNA from 1 species